GUAUUAUAUACUAGUACCCCUAUUCUCCUGCCCCUAUUACUACCCCUGUACUACUACUAUACUACCGCUAUUCUCCUGCCCCUAUACUACUUCUAUACUACUACUAUACUACCCCUGUACUACUUCUAUACUACCCCAAUACAACUUCUAUACUACCCCUAUACUACUUCUAUACUACCCCUGUACUACUACUUCUAUACUACUACUAUACUACCCCUAUACUACCCCUGUACUACUACUAUACUACCCCUGUACUACUACUAUACUACCACUAUUCUCCUGCCCCUAUACUACUUCUAUACUACUACUAUACUACCCCUGUACUACUUCUAUACUACCCCAAUACAACUACUAUACUACCCCUAUACUACUACUAUACUACUGCUCUACUACCCCUAUACUACUACUAUAUUACUGCUAUACUACUGCUAUACUACCCCUAUACUACUACUAUACUACCUCUGUACUACUACUAUACUACCCCUGUACCACUACUAUACUACUUCUAUACUACUACUAUACUACCCAUAUACUACUACUAUACUACUUCUAUACUACUACUAUACCUCCCAUAUACUACUACUAUACUACUACUAUACUACCCCUAUACUACUUCUAUACUACCCCUAUACUGCCACUAUACUACCCCUAUACUACUACUAUACUACCCAUAUACUACUACUAUACUACCCCUGUACUACUACUAUACUACUUCUAUACUACUCCUAUACUACUUCUAUACUAAUACUAUACUACCCCUAUACUACCCCUAUACUACUACUUUACCACCCCUAUACUACCCAUAUACUACUUCUAUCCUACCCCUGUACUACCCCUAUACUACUACAAUACCACCCCUAUACUACCCCUAUACUACCACUAUACUACUACUAUACUAACCCUAUACUAGCACUAUACUACCCCUGUACUACUACUACUAUACUACCCCUGUACUACUACUAUACUACCUCUGUGCUACUACACUACCCCUAUACUACUACUAUGCUACUACACUACCCCUAUACUACUACUAUACUACCCAUUUACUACCACUAUACUACCGCUAUACCACUACUAUACUACCCAUAUACUACCUAUAUACUACUUCUAUACUACCCCUAUACUGCCCCUAUACUGCCCCUAUACUGCCCCUAUACUACCCCUAUACUGCCCCUAUACUUCCCCUAUACUGCCCCGAUACUGCUACUAUACUGCCCCUAUACUACCAUGCUACCCCUGUGCUACUACUAUACCAGUACUAUACACUAUACUACCCCUAUACUACUACAGUGA
rnacentral:lncRNA from 1 species